GGCAGCCCCCAACUCCGGACGAUGCCGCGAGGAGGCGGCGGCGGCGCGCUCCGGAGGUCUGAAGCCACUGCUGGCUGCCACGGGCCGGCGGCGCGAUGAGCUGGGCAGCCGCCCCCGGCUCGGGGCUGUGAGCGGCUCGGGGCCGGGGGUGGGCGGCGGUGCGGCGGACGGCCGACGCUCCUCUUCGGCGGCGGCGGCGGCGGCCAUGCGUGGGGCGGCGCGGCUGGGGCGGCCGGGCCGGAGUUGCCUCCCGGGGGCCCGCGGCCUGAGGGCCCCGCCGCCGCCGCCGCCGCUGCUGCUUCUGCUUGCGCUGUUGCCGCUGCUGCCCGCGCCUGGCGCUGCCGCCGCCCCCGCCCCGCGGGCCCCGGAGCUGCAGUCGGCUUCCGCGGGGCCCAGCGUGAGUCUCUACCUGAGCGAGGACGAGGUGCGCCGGCUGAUCGGUCUUGAUGCAGAACUUUAUUAUGUGAGAAAUGACCUUAUUAGUCACUACGCUCUAUCCUUUAAUCUGUUAGUACCCAGCGAGACAAAUUUCCUGCACUUCACCUGGCAUGCGAAGUCCAAGGUUGAAUAUAAGCUGGGAUUCCAAGUGGACAAUGUUUUGGCAAUGGACAUGCCCCAGGUCAACAUUUCUGUUCAGGGGGAAGUUCCACGCACUUUAUCAGUGUUUCGGGUAGAGCUUUCCUGUACUGGCAAAGUAGAUUCUGAAGUUAUGAUACUAAUGCAGCUCAACUUGACAGUAAAUUCUUCAAAAAAUUUUACCGUCUUAAAUUUUAAACGAAGGAAAAUGUGCUACAAAAAACUUGAAGAAGUAAAAACUUCAGCCUUGGACAAAAACACUAGCAGAACUAUUUAUGAUCCUGUACAUGCAGCUCCAACCACUUCUACGCGUGUGUUUUAUAUUAGUGUAGGGGUUUGUUGUGCAGUAAUAUUUCUCGUAGCAAUAAUAUUAGCUGUUUUGCACCUUCAUAGUAUGAAAAGGAUUGAACUGGAUGACAGCAUUAGUGCCAGCAGUAGUUCCCAAGGGCUGUCUCAGCCAUCCACCCAGACGACUCAGUAUCUGAGAGCAGACACGCCCAACAAUGCAACUCCUAUCACCAGCUCCUUAGGUUAUCCUACCUUGCGGAUAGAGAAGAACGACUUGAGAAGUGUCACUCUUUUGGAGGCCAAAGCCAAGGUGAAGGAUAUAGCAAUAUCCAGAGAGAGGAUAACUCUAAAAGAUGUACUCCAAGAAGGUACUUUUGGGCGUAUUUUCCAUGGGAUUUUAAUAGAUGAAAAAGAUCCAAAUAAAGAAAAACAAGCAUUUGUCAAAACAGUUAAAGAUCAAGCUUCUGAAAUUCAGGUGACAAUGAUGCUCACUGAAAGUUGUAAGCUGCGAGGUCUUCAUCACAGAAAUCUUCUUCCUAUUACUCAUGUGUGUAUAGAAGAAGGAGAAAAGCCCAUGGUGAUAUUGCCUUACAUGAAUUGGGGGAAUCUUAAAUUGUUUUUACGACAGUGCAAGUUAGUAGAGGCCAAUAAUCCACAGGCAAUUUCUCAGCAAGACCUGGUACACAUGGCUAUUCAGAUUGCCUGUGGAAUGAGCUACCUGGCCAGAAGGGAAGUCAUCCACAAAGACCUGGCUGCCAGGAACUGUGUCAUUGAUGACACACUUCAAGUUAAGAUCACAGACAAUGCCCUCUCCAGAGACUUGUUCCCCAUGGACUAUCACUGUCUGGGGGACAAUGAAAACAGGCCAGUUCGUUGGAUGGCUCUUGAAAGUCUGGUUAAUAACGAGUUCUCUAGCGCUAGUGAUGUGUGGGCCUUUGGAGUGACGCUGUGGGAACUCAUGACUCUGGGCCAGACGCCCUAUGUGGACAUUGACCCCUUCGAGAUGGCCGCAUACCUGAAAGAUGGUUACCGAAUAGCCCAGCCAAUCAACUGUCCUGAUGAAUUAUUUGCUGUGAUGGCCUGUUGCUGGGCCUUAGAUCCAGAGGAGAGGCCCAAGUUUCAGCAGCUGGUACAGUGCCUAACAGAGUUUCAUGCAGCCCUGGGGGCCUACGUCUGACUCCUCUCCAAUCCCACACCAUCAGGAAGAAGGUUGUGCCAUCUCCUCUGUGAAGACUGGAUUGUGAGAAUUCAAAGGAAGAAGUAAUGAGACCCUUUAAGAAGCCGUUGCGUAGUUCAGAAAAGAAAAGAUAGUGGUUUGGACCACUUUGAGUAGUGAGGAGAUACAGAGAGAAGGGGCAGAUUGGAGAUAUGUUUUGAAGAUACACCAGGACCUGGAUCCAUUGGAUGUUGACGGUGGGGUGAAGAAGGAAGCGGGGAGGUGAGGAAUGACUAAUUGAUUUGGGGCUUGAGCAUCUGGUUUUAUGGCCAAGCUAUAUACUGAGAUGGGGAAAAAUCUAGGAGAAACUGAAUUUUGCAUUGGCCAGAGAAAUCCAUAAUUUGGUGUAGACUGUUUGAGAUGCCAGGUGAUCAUCUGUAUGGAGAUGUUUGAUAGAUGAGGGUCUGCAGCUCAGGGAAGGUCUCAUUGAACAUACAAAUGUAGGAGUAUAGCAUAUAGACUAUUUUUAAAGCCAUGGUACUGGAUGGAGUUGCUAGGGAGAGAGUGUAUAGAUGGAGAGGAGGUCCUAGGACCGAGUCUUGAGCUUUCUAACCUUCAGUUCCAGCUAGUGAAGGAAGAAGAGAUAACAAAGACAGGAAAAGCCACUGUAAUUGAUAAAAGCAACAACAAAAAAAUGAAAAUGAGGUGUUGCAGGAGCCCAAGAAAGGUCGUGUUUCAAAAUGGAGACGCCUCCAUCAGAUUUGGCAAUAUGGAGUUAACUGGCAGGAGCAUGGGGACUGGAGCAAGUCGAAGUGUGGACACAGGUGGGGACGUAAAGGCCUACCACUGUCAGCCCUGCUGUGAAGGGAAAUGAAGCAAUAACUAGAGGAGAUCAAAGGGGGUUUUUCGGGAGAAGAGGGACAGGGAUGAGAGUGUUUUCCAGAUGAAGGUACAGUGCCAGAAAAUGUUUCAUGGGCUCAUGGGAAUGAUCCGGUAGAGGGAGAAAAAUCCCUCUGGGGUAUGGGCCACUGCUCUUCCUUGCCAUUUGGUCCACAACCAUGAAAGCCUUUCACUCUGGCCCCGAGCCCUUUUGUUGUAUAAGGGUUGUGUGUUUACUGGGGGAGAAAUGUGAGGGAGGUAAGGUAAGGGAGGCGGUACACAAAACUGCCACCGUCCCAUUACCCAACAGCCUGCCUCUGUUGAGGGGCUUUUCCUGGGACUUCAGACUGGCACCCUCAUUGUGCUUGCAGCUGUCAUGUUUCCUUGCCCAGAUUGCCCAUAGCUGCUUCCCUGGCCUCGGCCUUGAACCCCUCUAGCCAGCAACUGCCCAGGUAACACUUUGUAAAACUGAGCCGCUGUCCCUGCUUGGAGCCUUCAGAGUAGACUUCAGACCUAGGCAGAGUAUCCACUCAGCUCUGCCGUUUCUCCUGCUCCCCACUUCGGGCCUGCACGCUUCCCGCCGCUUGGCAUGCUCCUUCCCCUUCUCCGAGAAUGAUGUGCUCCCCGCACUCCCCACACCGCCGCCCUGGGACCAAGAAGGUGCCUCUCACACCUUACUGCUCUCCUCCAGGCUUCGUGGUUGCUUUUCAGCCUUUUUCCCUGGAUUUGAACUUUAACAAAGCUCCAGAGAGAGAUAAACCAAUGCUAAUGCAGUGAUCCCAGGGUGUCAUCCAUUGCCAGUCUCCUCCUGUUUUGCUGCUCUGCCGUCUUUAGCAUGCUGUGGUUCUUAGGGACCCCAAGGGCCUAGAGCUUGCUCCAGAUAGGAAGAUGAGCAAGGGCAAAAAGCAAGAGGCAUGAGUUACUGAGACCUUUUUGUGAGGAAACUACUAACUUCCUGUAGUAUGCUUCCACCAACAACUUAAUAUCCUGAACGCACAUGAGCACUCCAUGCGCUACAGAUCUGCCUAUUCUGGACAUUUCAUAUCAAUGGGAUCAUACUCUACAGGCGUCCCCAACCCCUGAACCACGAACUGAUACUAGUCCAAUGGCAUGUUAGGAACUGGGCCACACAGCAGGAAGGAACAAAGCUUCAUCUGUAUUUAUAGCUGCUCCCUAUCAGUUGCAGCACCACCUGAGCUCCACCUCCUAUCAGAUCAGCAGCGGCAUUAGAUUCUCAUAAAAACAUGAUCCCUAUUGUGAACCGCACAUGCGAGGGAUCUAGGCUGCAUGCUCCUUAUGAGAAUCUAAAGCCUGAUGAUCUGUCACUGUCUCCCAUCACCCCAGACUGGGAGUGUCUAGUUGCUGGAAAAUAAGCUCAGGGCUCCCACUGAUUCUACAUUAUGGUGAGUUGUACAUUGUCAUUAUAUGUUACAGUGUAAUAAUAAUAGAAAUAAAGUGCACAAUAAAUGUAAUUUGCUUGAAUCCUGAAACCACCCCGCUACACACCACACCAUCUGUGGAAAAACUGACUUCCAUGAAACCUGUCCCUGGUGGCAGAGAUUGGGAAUCACUGAUACAAUAUAUAACUGCCUUCUUUCUCUUAGCAUAAUGCUUUUAAGGUUCAUCCAUUUGUAACAUGUAUCAGUAACUCAUUCCUUUGUAUAGCUGAGUAAUAUUCCUCUGUAUGGAUCUACUACAUUUUGUUUAUCCAUUCAUCAUUUGAUGGACAUUUUGGUUGGUUGUGCUUUUGGCUGUUAUGAAUAAUGCUACUAUAAGCAUUUACGUAUAAGUUCUUUUGUGGACAUACGUUUUUAUUUCUUUAGGGUAGAUAUAUAGGAAUGGAAUUUCUGGCUCAUGUGGUAACUCUUGGCAUUUUGAGGGAUUGCCAAAAUGUUUUCCAAAGUGGCUGCACCAUUUUACAUUCCCACUAUGUAUAAGAUUUCCAGUUUACAUUCCCACUAUGUAUAAGGUUUCCAGUUUCUUCACAUCCUUGCCAAUGCUUGUUAUUGGCUUUCUUUUUUUUUUUUUCAUCAUACCCAUAUGAUAGGGGGUAUGAAGUGGUAUCUUAUUGUGGGAUUGAUUAACAUUUCCCCCUAAAAUCCCAGCACUUUGGGAGGCUGAGGCAGGAGAAUCCCUUGAGUCCAGGAGUUGGAGACCAGCCUGGGCAACAUAGUGAAACCCCAUCUCUACAAAAAAAAUCAAAAAAAUUAGCCAGACAUGGUGUUGCAUGCCUGUGGUUCCAGCUUCUCAGGAGGCUGAGGUGAGAGGAUUGCUUGAGCCUAGGAGGUGGAGGUUGCAGCGAGCCAUGAUUGUACCACUGCACUCCAGCCUAGUUGAUGAAGAGAGAUCCUGUCUCAAAAAAUAAAAAAUUUAAAAAAUGAUCUACAUUCCCCUAAUAGCUAAUAAUGAUGAGCAUCUUUUUCAUGUGCUUAUGAGCCAUUUGUAUAUCUUUCUUCAAGAAGUUUCUCUUCAAAUCUUUGCCCAUUUUUAAAAUUGGGUUGUCUUUUUAUUAUUGAGUUUUAAGAGUUCUUUAUAUAUUCUGUAUAGUAGAUUUUUAUCAGAUAUAUAAUUUGCAAAUAUUUUUUCAAUCUAUGUUUGCUUUUCUACUUACUUGAUAAUGUUCUUUGAAAACAAAAGUUUUAAAAUUUGAGGAAGUCCAACUUAUCAAUCUUCUCUUUUAAUAACUGUGCUUUUCAUUGUAUAUAAGAAAUCAUUGCCUCACCCAUGAUUGCAAAGAUCUACUUCUGUGCUUCCUUCCAAGAAUUUUAUAGUUUUAGUUCUUAAUAUUUACAUCUGUCAUCCAAACUGAGUUAAUUUUUUUUUUUUUUUUUUUUUUUGAGACAGGGUCUCACUUUAUGGCCCAGGCUGGAGUGCUGUGAUGCAAUCAUGGCUCACUGCAGCCUCAACUUCCCAGGCUCAAGCACUCCUCCUACCUUAGCCUCCUGGAAUUAUUUUCCUAAUUUCAUUUUCAGAUUAUUUAUUGCUAGUGUAUAGAGAUGAAAUUGAUUUUUGUACAUUGAUCUUGUAUCCAGCAACUUUGCUAGAGAAGUGUAAUUGAUUUUUUAUACUGAGUUUGGACCCAGCAAAUUUGCUGAACUCUCUUAUUAAUUGUAUUACUUUUUCUAUAGAUUCUUUUAGAUUUUCCAUAUAAUAAUAUUAUCUGCAAAUAAUGACAAUCUUGUUUCAUCUUUUCCAUCAACACAUUAUAUAAAAAAAUUACUGUGGCAAAAUACACAUAACAUAAAAUUUACUAUCUUAACCAGUUUUAAGUGUACACUUAAGUGGUAUUAAGUAUAUUCAUAUUAUUGUGCAGCCAGCAUCACCAUCCAUCUCCAGAACUCUUUUCAUCUUGCAAAGCUGAAAAUCUACAUCCAUUAAAUAACCCUCCACCAUUCAUUCUCUCCUCCCUCCAUUCCCUGAAAACUACUGUUCUACUUUCUGUCUCUGUAAUUUUGACUACUCUAGGUACCUCAUAUAAUUGGAAUCAUGCAGCAUUUGUUGCCCAGGCUGGUCUUGAACUCUUGGCUUCAAGUGAUACUCCAACCUUGGCUUCCCAAAGUGCUAGGAUUAGAGGGGUGAACCACCUCACCCAGCCUCUGUACUUUUUUUCUAUAUACUUUUUUCCAUUUUUUUUCUCUAUGUUUUUCAGAUUGGAUAAUUUCUACUGACCUAUCUUCAAGGUCUCUGCUUUUUCUCUCUGUCCUCUCCAUUCUGUUACUAAACCCAGAACAAGGCUUAGUUCUGUUAUUGUAUUGUUGGUUCUUGUAUUGUUUAGCUCCAGACUAUCCAUGUGGUUCUUUAUAUCUGCUACUUUUUUGUCGUUGUUGAGACUAUCUUCCAUUCAUUUUAAGAGUGUUUAUCCUUACUUUUAUAGCAUAUUAUAAUAGCUAUUUUAAGGUUUUUGUCAGAUAAUCUUAAUAUUUAUGUCACAUUGAUGUUGGCAUCUGUUGACUGCCUUUUUUCAUGAGAGUUGAGAUGUUCCAGUUUUUUUGUAUGCCAAGUGAUUUUGAUUGUGUCCUGGCCAUUUUCAAUAUUAUGUUAUGGAAUUCUGAGUCUUAUUUAAAUUCUCUGGAGAAUAUUGAUACUUUGUUUUUAGGGGCAGUCAACUCAGUUGAGUUCAGGCUGCAGGUUUUAACCAGGCUUCUGUAGUUGGUGGUUUCAAAUGAAUUCUAUUUACAAAACCUUUGCAGGGCUAUUCAGAUUUGUCCUGCAUGUGUGCCACCCAGUGGGCAGUCUGGGUCCUGGGAAGCAGUCUAUCUCCUAAUUUAGUUCUCAAAUUUUUUGGUAAGCUGUUUAUUGUGGCAAAAUACACAUAAAAUAAAAACCGUGCAUGCAUAGUUAGAGGUGAACCCAAGAUUUCAUAAACAACUCUAUGGGGUUAAUUUCCCAAGUUCCUACCUCUCUGCAAUCUCUUUUGUACUUCCUGUUUCCCCGGGAUUCCUCAUUCUGCUUGUCUGGCUAGGAAACUAACACUAGGGCUUUAGUUAUCCUGCUUCCCAUAACUGCACCAAAAUCUUAGGCCAAGUGGCAGGAGGACAGAAAGAAAACAACAACAACCAUAGGAGUUUGCCUCACCCUCUUGGGACACUUUUGGGACCAUAGAUAUUCUAAUAAAAGAGUAAGGCUCCUCACUUCAAAGUUUUAGGCUUAUCUAAAUAUCCUUUCCUGGAGUUUUCUAUUUAUAACCUUUGCCUUUUUUUCUAUUGGGUGGCUUAUUUCUUUUGUCUCUUAUUUUCACUGCAGUUCAUUAUAUAUUCUGAAUGUUAUUUAUUGUCUAGCAUGUAUUUGUACUUAUGCAAAUAUUUUCAGUCUAUGAUUAGUUUUUUUUUUUAACUUAGUGUUAUGGUCAAAUUUUUCAGUUUUUUUCUUUUUGUGGUUUUUGCACUAUGUCCUAAGAACUCCUCCUUCUCUGCUGUUUAUAAACACAGCCUAACUUUUCUCCCUGUACUUUCAUACAUGUUUUAUUUGUUUUAUAUUUAGCUUUUUAAUCUACCCACAAUUUAUAUUUGUGAGGAGAAAAGGUAAGUUGAUUCUGUUUUGUCCUUCUACAAUAGAUAGCUAUUUCUCCCCAAAUCAUUGACUGAAUAUUCCAUCCUUUUAAAAACUCAUUUGCAAUGCUGCUUUUACUGUACUCAAUUUCCAUACAUGUAUGAGUUUUAUUAUCUAUUUUGUAUUUAGUUUAUCUACUUAUUUAUACCCAAAUCAGUACCAUGUAGUUAUAAUUAUAGUUUGAUAGUAUACUUUUUAAUAUUAUAGAAUAUAUUCCUCUCUUACUGCUUUUUUCUUUUCUUUUCAAAUAAUUUUGGCUAUUCUUGCACAUUUUCUUUUUCAGAUGAAUUUUGGAAUCUCUUAUAAAAUUCAUUUAAACAUUUCUAUUGUAAUUGUAGAUAAUAAUUACAUUUUAGAGAAUUGACAUGUUAACAAUUAGAAUCAUCCUAUUCAGUAUCACAGCAUAUUUUCCCAUUAUAAUGAACUUUUGAAUGUUCUCCAAAAUUUUAUUGUUUGUUUUAUAUAGGUCUUUAAUAAUUCCAAAUUUUAUUAUUAGCUAUUGUUAUAUUAUACUAAGACAUUAUGAACCUAGAAAUAGAAAUUUUAUAGAUUUUUGAAAAAAUGAAUGGGGAUUUAAAAAGUCGUUGCCCUAAAAUUGGUUUUGCCGAUAUAAAAGUAAAUAACUGACUCUUAAAUUUGAUACUAAGCUCCCUCGCUAUACUCUCUUACUUGUCCUAACAAUUUAACAGUUGGUUUUAUAGAAUUUUCAAUGUAUAUGGUUAUGUUGCCAACAGAUAACAGUUUUGUCUGUUUAUAUGUUGUCUGGAUUUAUAUGUUAUUUCUUUUUUCUCUCUUGGCAAAUACAUUCAGGACAAUCUUUAAUAUUGGCAGUGAUAACUUUCAUCCUGGCAUUGUUCUUUACAUUAGUGGGAACACUUCCACGGUUUCACCACUUACUAUGAUGUCUUCUGUAGUUUUCUGGGAAAUCCCUUUUUUUUUUUUCCAAUUUCAUCAUUCUUACUAUCAUAAAGUUUCCAUCAGAAACAGAUUUUGAAUUUUAAAAAUGUUCUUACAGGAGAGGGAUCGAGAUGGCUGCUAGACGCAGGUAGUACGUACCUCCUCUAAGGAGAGGAAGCAGAAUAGUACAAUACUCACAUUUCAAGCAGAGCAUCUAGAAGAGAAUGCUAGGAUUCACCAGAGAAGAGUUAGGAAUCACCAGAAGUAAGGAGAGGGUUGGAGGCAGGCAGCUUGCCUGGCAGAGGACUGACAGAAUCGUGAGAGGCUCCUGGAUGCAGGGAAGCAAUAAGACGGAAACCCCCAGGGCUUGGCUUUUACAAUCUUGGCCACAGGAGAAACCCACUAUGAAAUUGGGCGUAACAUAAGGAGCUGCCUAAAGAUUGCAGAGAGAUGUUGCUCCAGAGAGGGAACUCUCACAGGCAUCUGAGCCCUGAGCAGCCUCAGCUGGGUGCCAUUUUGAGAGCUUAGAUACGGGGGAUCUACAUAUGAUGGCUGUUGCCACUGCAUUGCUCCAAGGAGGGUGUGAGGGAAACUAGGCACUCCCAUGCACCAUUGGGAGGGUCUCCAUCACCCUACUGAGGCUGCUGUUGAGAAUGGAAUGUGAGCAGACUGCACUCCUUGCAGCUGCUUGUUUGGGAGGGACCCCGCCUUCUCUAGUCUCAGGCCCAAGGUGCCACCUUGAGGGUUUGACACUGGGCUGUGCCUUGCCCUCAGGCUGAGUUCAGGCUUACCUGGCAGUAACUGUUGCCUGGCCAAGGAGGGUUGGGGAAACCAGGCCCUCCUAUGCACAUCUAGGACAAAACCCACUGCCCUACAAUAGGCGGCUGUGAAACUGAGACACGAGUGGUACUGCGCUUUCACAGCUUCUUGCUUCUGCUGUUUGCCUGAGAGAAGCCCCGCCCUCUCUGGUCACAAGCCCACAGCUGACACCAUUUUGAGAGUUUAACGUUGGGCUAUGUCCUGCCCUCAGGCAGAGUUCAAGUUGAUGAAACUGCAGCUGCCACCCAUCUGAGGAGGGACAAGAAAACCAAGCUCUCCUACAUGUUCCUAGGACAAUACCCACCACCCUGCUAUAGGCUGCUGUGAGACUGAGACUUGAGUGGGACACACUGUCCACAGCGUCUAGCCCAUGCUACCCACCCUAUCUGUUCAGAAACUCAUAGGUGGCACCAUUUUGAGUUUAAUGAGUUUAAGGAUGGGCCCAUCCUUGAGCUGAGUUAUAAGCGAUGUACUGCAGCUGCCACCCAGCUGGGAAAGGGACAGGAGAGAUUAAGCUCUCCUAAGAACAUUCAGGACAAUAUCCACUGCCCUGCUGCAGGAGGCUGAGGACCUGGGGACUAGCCCACCCAACCCAUAACAGCUUCCAGCAACAACACAGACUGCUUGGAUCCAAGUUGGAUGUUCCACCACCACUACUGUCACCACCCACACAACACCAGCUGCCCAUUGGACUGAGAACCCACCCACACACCUGGCCCACCACUGUCACUACCAACUUCUAAACAAGCCGCCUGGAGGCCCAAGAAUCAGCUCUCUAGAACCCACUAAUACUGGAGCCAGUGCAAGUUGCUCUGGAGCCUACAAACAGUCACAUUCACCCCACUGCUGCUGCUGUUGGGUGAAGACUAGUUCAGUUGUCAUUGAAGUCCCCAGAAAAUUUCACCACAACCUCAGCUAAUCACUGUUCCUGAAGCCACCAAGGAAGUCACAGAUACCACAGACCCUGUGUGCUGCCAGAGAAGUCAUACUAAGAUCACAUUAUCACAGGCACCCAAAAUCAAAGCCAAAGUAUCAUCAUAUUCAACCAACUACAUACAUACGUGUUCAGGAAAAAUUUCUACCCUAUGAAAGCAAUUUCAAAAGCUGGAACAAAAGACUGCUACACCAGAUGUGCAGAUAUCAAUGGAAGGACACAGGAAACAUGAAAAAACAGGGAAAUAUGACAGCACCAAUUUACUACAACAAUUGUCCAGCAAUAGAUCUUAAUAAAAAAGCAUUUCUCAAAAUGCCAGGUAAAUAAUUCAAACCACUGAUUUUAAAGAAGCUUAAUGGGAUGCAAGAGAAAUCUGAAAAUCAAUACAAAGCAAUCAGAAUAUAAAUUCAAGAUAUGAAUGAGAAAUUUACCAAUAAAUUAUCUCUUUUUAAAAAAAGUGGAAAUUUUGGAAUUAAAAAAUUCAUUGAAGGAAAUAUAAAAUACACUUAAAACCUUAGUAAUAAACUAGACCAGAAGAAAGAAUGUCACAACUUGAAGACAAAUCUUUCGAAAUAAUCUAGUCGGAGAAAAAUAAGGAAGAAAAGAAUAAAAAAGAAUGAACAAAGCCUUUGAGAUGUCUAGGACUGCAUGCAGUGACCAAACUAAUGAAUUAUUGGUAUUCCAAAUGGGGAAGAGAGAUCAAAAAGUUUAGGAAAUCUAUUUAAGGAAGUAAUUGAUGAAAACUUCCAAAGUCUAACAAGACAGACAUCCAGAUACACAAGGCCUAGGAAUCCCCAGGCAAAUACAUUGCAAAAAGGACUUCACCAUGCAAUAUUAUAUUCAGAAUGUCUAGAGUUAAAGUGAAAGAAAGAGUUUUAAAUUACAAAAAGAAAAGCACCUAGUCACCUAUAAAGACAACCUCAUCAGACUCACAGUGGACUUUUCAGCAGUAACCUCACAGGCCAGAAGAGAAUGGGAUGGCAUUUUCAAAGUGCUGAAAGAAAAAAAAAAAAAAAAUCAGCAAAGAACUUUAUACCCUGCCAGAAUAAGCUUCGUAAAUGAAGGGGAAAAAAAGUCUUUCCCAGACAAGCAAAUGCUGAGGGAAUUUGUCACCACUAGAGAGGCCCUACAGGAAAUGCUUAAAGGGGUCUAAAACAUGGAAAUUAAAGGUCAAUGUUCACCAUUAUGAAAACACAUAAUAUAAAACUCACAGUUCUUAUAAAACAACUACAAUAAGGAGGAAGAGAAAGGAAUUAAAUGGCAACAUGACCAAAUUUCAUUAAACCACAAAGGCAAAAAGAGAAAAAAAAUGAAACAAGCAUUUAUAAAACAACUUGAAAACAA